UAUAAAUUUUAAAUGUAUCUAAUGAAUAUUACUACUUUUCAGACUGUGGAUCUCCAUUGAAUGUGACCAAUGGUAAAUUGCAGUAUAACGCAACGACGUUUGGAUCAACCGCUUCUCUUGCCUGUGAAACAGGAUAUGAUGGAAACGGUACAAUAAGCUGCCCUGACACUGGCAUUUGGGAAAGCCCACCAAAAUGUUCUAUUAAAGACUGUGGAUCUCCAUUGAAUGUGACCAAUGGUAAAUUGCAGUAUAACGCAACGACGUUUGGAUCAACCGCUUCUCUUGCCUGUGAAACAGGAUAUGAUGGAAACGGUACAAUAAGCUGCCUUGACACUGGCAUUUGGGAAAGCCCACCAAAAUGUUCUAUUAAAGACUGUGGAUCUCCAUUGAAUGUGACCAAUGGUAAAUUGCAGUAUAACGCAACGACGUUUGGAUCAACCGCUUCUCUUGCCUGUGAAACAGGAUAUGAUGGAAACGGUACAAUAAGCUGCCUUGACACUGGCAUUUGGGAAAGCCCACCAAAAUGUUCUA